UCGCAUUCUUCAUGGGGUGUGGUGGAAAGCUUUUGCGGUGUGGGAUGGGCCCGCGGCCUAUCAGCUUGUUGGUGGGGUAAUGGCCUACCAAGGCGACGACGGGUAGCCGGCCUGAGAGGGUGACCGGCCACACUGGGACUGAGAUACGGCCCAGACUCCUACGGGAGGCAGCAGUGGGGAAUAUUGCACAAUGGGCGCAAGCCUGAUGCAGCGACGCCGCGUGAGGGAUGACGGCCUUCGGGUUGUAAACCUCUUUCAGCACAGACGAAGCGCAAGUGACGGUAUGUGCAGAAGAAGGACCGGCCAACUACGUGCCAGCAGCCGCGGUAAUACGUAGGGUCCGAGCGUUGUCCGGAAUUACUGGGCGUAAAGAGCUCGUAGGUGGUUUGUCGCGUUGUUCGUGAAAACUCACAGCUUAACUGUGGGCGUGCGGGCGAUACGGGCAGACUUGAGUACUGCAGGGGAGACUGGAAUUCCUGGUGUAGCGGUGGAAUGCGCAGAUAUCAGGAGGAACACCGGUGGCGAAGGCGGGUCUCUGGGCAGUAACUGACGCUGAGGAGCGAAAGCGUGGGGAGCGAACAGGAUUAGAUACCCUGGUAGUCCACGCCGUAAACGGUGGGUACUAGGUGUGGGUUUCCUUCCUUGGGAUCCGUGCCGUAGCUAACGCAUUAAGUACCCCGCCUGGGGAGUACGGCCGCAAGGCUAAAACUCAAAGAAAUUGACGGGGGCCCGCACAAGCGGCGGAGCAUGUGGAUUAAUUCGAUGCAACGCGAAGAACCUUACCUGGGUUUGACAUGCACAGGACGCCAGUAGAGAUAUUGGUUCCCUUGUGGCCUGUGUGCAGGUGGUGCAUGGCUGUCGUCAGCUCGUGUCGUGAGAUGUUGGGUUAAGUCCCGCAACGAGCGCAACCCUUGUCCUAUGUUGCCAGCGGGUUAUGCCGGGGACUCGUAGGAGACUGCCGGGGUCAACUCGGAGGAAGGUGGGGAUGACGUCAAGUCAUCAUGCCCCUUAUGUCCAGGGCUUCACACAUGCUACAAUGGCCGGUACAAAGGGCUGCGAUGCCGUGAGGUGGAGCGAAUCCUUGUAAAGCCGGUCUCAGUUCGGAUCGGGGUCUGCAACUCGACCCCGUGAAGUCGGAGUCGCUAGUAAUCGCAGAUCAGCAACGCUGCGGUGAAUACGUUCCCGGGCCUUGUACACACCGCCCGUCACGUCAUGAAAGUCGGUAACACCCGAAGCCGGUGGCCUAACCCUUGUGGAGGGAGCCGUCGAAGGUGGGAUCGGCGAUUGGGACGAAGUCGUAACAAGGUAGCCGUACCGGAAGGUGCGGCUGGAUCACCUCCUUU
rnacentral:rRNA from 1 species